AGUGAACGCUGGCGGUAGGCCUAACACAUGCAAGUCGAACGGCAGCACAGUAAGAGCUUGCUCUUACGGGUGGCGAGUGGCGGACGGGUGAGGAAUACAUCGGAAUCUACUUUUUCGUGGGGGAAAAGGAGGGAAACCUUACGCUAUUACCCCAUACGACCAACGGGGGAAGGAGGGGAUCCUUCGGCCCUUGGGGAAUGGAUGGGCCGAUUGUGGGUUUGCUAGUUGGCGGGGGAAAGGCCCACCCAGGGGACGAUCCGUAGCUGGUCUGAGAGGAUGAUCAGCACACUGGAACUGAGACACGGUCCAGACUCCUACGGGAGGCAGCAGUGGGGAAUAUUGGACAAUGGGCGCAAGCCUGAUCCAGCCAUACCGCGUGGGUGAAGAAGGCCUUCGGGUUGUAAAGCCCUUUUGUUGGGAAAGAAAAGCAGCAGGUUAAUACCCCGCUGUUCUGACGGUACCCAAAGAAUAAGCACCGGCUAACUUCGU
rnacentral:rRNA from 1 species